GAUGAACGCUAGCGGCAGGCUUAAUACAUGCAAGUCGUGGGGCAGCAGGGGUGUAGCAAUACAUCUGCUGGCGACCGGCAAACGGGUGCGUAACACGUACGCAACCUUCCCGUUACUGUGGCAUAGCCCAGGGAAACUUGGACUAAUACCCCCUAUUAUAUAGAGAGGGCAUCCUUUUUAUAUCAAAGCAUCGGCGGUAACGGAGGGGCGUGCGGUUGAUUAGGUAGUUGGCGGGGUAACGGCCCACCAAGCCUACGAUCAAUAGCUGAUGUGAGAGCAUGAUCAGCCACACGGGCACUGAGACACGGGCCCGACUCCUACGGGAGGCAGCAGUAAGGAAUAUUGGGCAAUGGACGAAAGUCUGACCCAGCCAUGCCGCGUGAAGGAUUAAGGUCCUCUGGAUUGUAAACUUCUUUUCUGGGGCGAAAACCAGCUAUUCUGAGCUAUUUGACAGUACCAGAGGAAUAAGCACCGGCUAACUCCGUGCCAGCAGCCGCCGUAA
rnacentral:rRNA from 1 species